UAAAGCGAUUCAGCGGGUUACGAUUGACGGAGCGAAGCGACGUCAAAGCGUAUACAAAGUCGAGUCGGUUUAAGGAUACGUUCGUUGGGUAGGGGAGCGUUCUGUAAGCCUGUGAAGGUGGCCUGUGAGGGUUGCUGGAGGUAUCAGAAGUGCGAAUGCUGACAUAAGUAACGAUAAAGCGGGUGAAAAGCCCGCUCGCCGGAAGACCAAGGGUUCCUGUCCAACGUUAAUCGGGGCAGGGUGAGUCGACCCCUAAGGCGAGGCCGAAAGGCGUAGUCGAUGGGAAACGGGUUAAUAUUCCCGUACUUGGUGUUACUGCGAAGGGGGGACGGAGAAGGCUAUGUUGGCCGGGCGACGGUUGUCCCGGUUUAAGCGUGUAGGCUGGUUUUCCAGGCAAAUCCGGAAAAUCAAGGCUGAGGCGUGAUGACGAGGCACUACGGUGCUGAAGCAACAAAUGCCCUGCUUCCAGGAAAAGCCUCUAAGCAUCAGGUAACAUCAAAUCGUACCCCAAACCGACACAGGUGGUCAGGUAGAGAAUACCAAGGCGCUUGAGAGAACUCGGGUGAAGGAACUAGGCAAAAUGGUGCCGUAACUUCGGGAGAAGGCACGCUGACACGUAGGUGAAGUGAUUUACUCAUGGAGCUGAAGUCAGUCGAAGAUACCAGCUGGCUGCAACUGUUUAUUAAAAACACAGCACUGUGCAAACACGAAAGUGGACGUAUACGGUGUGACGCCUGCCCGGUGCCGGAAGGUUAAUUGAUGGGGUCAGCGCAAGCGAAGCUCCUGAUCGAAGCCCCGGUAAACGGCGGCCGUAACUAUAACGGUCCUAAGGUAGCGAAAUUCCUUGUCGGGUAAGUUCCGACCUGCACGAAUGGCGUAAUGAUGGCCAGGCUGUCUCCACCCGAGACUCAGUGAAAUUGAACUCGCUGUGAAGAUGCAGUGUACCCGCGGCAAGACGGAAAGACCCCGUGAACCUUUACUAUAGCUUGACACUGAACAUUGAGCCUUGAUGUGUAGGAUAGGUGGGAGGCUUUGAAGUGUGGACGCCAGUCUGCAUGGAGCCGACCUUGAAAUACCACCCUUUAAUGUUUGAUGUUCUAACGUGGACCCGUAAUCCGGGUUGCGGACAGUGUCUGGUGGGUAGUUUGACUGGGGCGGUCUCCUCCUAAAGAGUAACGGAGGAGCACGAAGGUUGGCUAAUCCUGGUCGGACAUCAGGAGGUUAGUGCAAUGGCAUAAGCCAGCUUGACUGCGAGCGUGACGGCGCGAGCAGGUGCGAAAGCAGGUCAUAGUGAUCCGGUGGUUCUGAAUGGAAGGGCCAUCGCUCAACGGAUAAAAGGUACUCCGGGGAUAACAGGCUGAUACCGCCCAAGAGUUCAUAUCGACGGCGGUGUUUGGCACCUCGAUGUCGGCUCAUCACAUCCUGGGGCUGAAGUAGGUCCCAAGGGUAUGGCUGUUCGCCAUUUAAAGUGGUACGCGAGCUGGGUUUAGAACGUCGUGAGACAGUUCGGUCCCUAUCUGCCGUGGGCGCUGGAGAACUGAGGGGGGCUGCUCCUAGUACGAGAGGACCGGAGUGGACGCAUCACUGGUGUUCGGGUUGUCAUGCCAAUGGCACUGCCCGGUAGCUAAAUGCGGAAGAGAUAAGUGCUGAAAGCAUCUAAGCACGAAACUUGCCCCGA
rnacentral:rRNA from 1 species